rnacentral:rRNA from 1 species
UCAAACAAGGAAAGGCUUAUGGUGGAUACCUAGGCACCCAAAGACAAGGAAGGGCAUAGUAAGCGACGAAAUGCUUCGAGGAGUUGAAAAUAAGCGUAGAGCUGGAGAUUCCCGAAUAGGUCAACCUUUUGAACUGCUGCUGAAUCCACGGGCAGGCAAGAGACAACCUGGCGAUCUGAAACAUCUUAGUAGCCAGAGGAAAAGAAAGCAAAAAAUGAUUCCCGUAGUAGCGGCGACCGAAAUGGGAGCAGCCUAAACCGUGAAAACGGGGUUGUGGGAGAGCUAUACAAGUGUCGUGCUGCUAGGCGAAGCAGUGGAGUGCUGCACCCUAGAUGGCAAAAGUCCAGUAGCCGAAACCAUUACUAGCUUACGCUCUGACCUGAGUAGCAUGGGGCACGUGGAAUCCCAUGUGAAUCAGCAAGGACCAAGGACCACCUUGCAAGGCUAAAUACUAUUGGGUGAUUGAUAGUGAAGUAGUACCGUGAGGGAAAGGUGAAAAGAACCCCAAUAGGGGAGUGAAAUAGAACAUGAAACCAUAAGCUCCCAAGCAGUGGGAGGAGCCCAGCCCAAGGCUCUAACUGCGUGCCUGUUGAAGAAUGAGCCGGCGACUCAUAGGCAGUGGCUUGGUUAAGGGAAACCACCGGAGCCGUAGUUUCACAGGGCAAUUAUCACUGCUUAUGGACCCAAACCUGGGUGAUCUAUCUAUGACCAGGAUGAAGCUUAGGUGAAACUAAGUGGAGGUCCGAACCGACUGAUGUUGAAGAAUCAGCGGAUGAGUUGUGGUUAGGGGCUGAAAUGCCACUAGAACCUAGAGCUAGCUGGUUCUCCCCGAAAUGCUUUGAGGCGUAACAGUUGAUUGGACAUCUAGGGGUAAAGCACCGUUUCGGUGCGGGCCGUGAGAACGAUACCAAAUUGAGGCAAACUCUGAAUACUAGAUAUGAUCUCAAAAUAAUAAGGGUCAAGGUCGGCCAGUGAGACGAUGGGGGAUAAGCUUCAUCGUUUGGUGCAGAAGCGAGAAUGUCAGCUUAAGUAACGCAAACGUUGGUGAGAAUCCAAUGCCUUGGAAACCUAAGGGUUCCUCCACAAGGUUCGUCCACGGAGGGUGAGUCAAGGCCUAAGAUCAGGCCGAAAGGCGUAGGCGAUGGACAACAGCCCUUGUUGGUCCCGACGGACGGAGGAGGUUAGGUUAGCCGAAAGAUGGUUAUCGGUUCAAGGACACAAGGUGCCCCUACUUUUUCAAGGUAACAAUGCCUCGAGCCAAUGUUCAAGUACCAGGCGCUAUGACGUUGAAGUAACGGAUGCCAUACUCCCAGGAAAUGCUCGAAUGACCUUCAACAGAAGGGUACUGUACCAGAAAUCGACACCUACAAAGAAUACCUAGAGGCGCUCGUAACUUCGGGAAAAAGGGUGCCUCCUUACAAAGGGGGUCGCAGUGACCAGGCUCCCGGGCGACUGUUUACCGAAGACACAGGUCUCCACAAAGUCGUAAGACUAUGUAUGGGGGCUGACACCUGCCCAGUGAUGGAAGGUCAAGGAAGUUGGUGACCUGAUGAUAGGGGAGCCGGUGGCCGUAACUAAAACGAUCCUAAGGUAGCGAAAUUCCUUGUUGGGUAAGUUUCGACCUGCACGAAAUGCGUAACGAUCUGGGCACUAUAUUAGAGAGAGGCUCGGUGAAAUAGACAUGUCUGUGAAGAUGCGGACUACCCCCACCUGGACCGAAAGACCGUAUGAAGCUUCAGCUUUAUUGUUCCCUUGGAUUGGGGUUUGGGCUUUUCCUGUGCAGCUCAGGUGGAGGGCGAAGAAGGCCCUCUUCCGGGGGGGGCCCGAGCCAUCAGUGAGAGAUAUCACUCUGGAAGAGCUAGAAUUCUAACCUUGUGCCAGGACCUACGGGCCAAGGGACAGUUUCUAUGGGGCAUAGGCCUCCCAAAAGGUAACGGAGGCGUGAAAAGGUUUCCUUAGGCCAGACGGAGAUUAGCUUGACUGCAAGUCGAGCAGGGACGAAAGUCAGCCUUAAUGAUCCGACAGUACUGAGUGGGCCGUCGCUCAACAGAUAAAAGUUGCUCUAGGGAUAACAGGCUGAUCUACCCCAACCUCACAUCAAAGGGAAGGUUUGGCACCUCGAUGUCGGCUCUUCACCACUUGGGGUUGUAGUAUGUUCCAAGGGUUGGGCUGUUCGCCCAUUAAAGUGAUACGUUAGUUGGGUUCAGUUCAAUCCAUAUCCGGUGUGGGCGUAAGAGCAUUGAGACGACCUUUCCCUAGUACGAAAGGACCGGGAAGGACCCACCUCUAGUGUGCCAGUUAUCGUGCCCACGGUAAACGCUAGGUAGCCAAGUGCGGAGCAGAUAACUGCUGAAAGCAUCUAAGUAGUAAGCCCACCCCAAGAUGAGUGCUCUGCUGUUCCGACUUCUCCAAAGCCUCCGGUAGCACAGCUGAGACAGUGAUGGGUUCUCUACCCCCACGGGGAUGGAGCGAAAUAAGUUUUGAGAAUUCAAGAGAAGGUCACGACGAGACGAGCCGUUUCUCAUUAACGAUAGGUGUCAAGUGGAAGUGUAGUAAUAUAUGCCGCUGAGGCAUCGUAACAGACCGGUAGACUUGAACCU